AUUGAACGCUGGCGGCAGGCUUAACACAUGCAAGUCGAGCGAGCGGCGGACGGGUGUGUAAUGUCUGGGAAACUGCCUGCUGGAGGGGGCUAACUACUGGAAAAGGUAGCUAAUCCCGCAUACCAUCAGAUGUGCCCAGUUGGGAUUAGCCAGUAGGUGGGGUAAUGGCUCACCUAGGAGACGAUCCCUAGCUGGUCUGAGAGAAUGACCGGCCACACUGGAACGGAGACACGGUCCAGACUCCGACGGGAGGCAGCAGUGGGGAAUAUUGCACAAUGGGCGCAAGCCUGAUGCAGCCAUGCCGCGUGUGUGAAGAAGGCCUUCGGGUUGUAAAGCACUUUCAGCGAGGAGGCGUUACUCGCAGAAGAAGCACCGGCUAACUCCGUGCCAGCCGCCGCGGUAAUAC
rnacentral:rRNA from 1 species